rnacentral:rRNA from 1 species
AGAGUUUGAUCAUGGCUCAGGACGAACGCUGGCGGCGUGCCUAAUACAUGCAAGUCGAACGCUUCUUUCCUCCCGAGUGCUUGCACUCAAUUGGAAAGAGGAGUGGCGGACGGGUGAGUAAUGUAUGGGGAUCUGCCUGAUGGCGGGGGAUAACUACUGGAAACGGUAGCUAAUACCGCAUAAUGUCUUCGGACCAAAGCGGGGGACCUCCGGGCCUCGCGCCAUCAGAUGAACCCAGAUGGGAUUAGCUGGUAGGUGGGGUAACGGCUCACCUAGGCGACGAUCCCUAGCUGGUCUGAGAGGAUGACCAGCCACACUGGAACUGAGACACGGUCCAGACUCCUACGGGAGGCAGCAGUGGGGAAUAUUGCACAAUGGGCGCAAGCCUGAUGCAGCCAUGCCGCGUGUGUGAAGAAGGCCUUAGGGUUGUAAAGUACUUUCAGUCGGGAGGAAGGCGUUGAUGCUAAUAUCAUCAGCGAUUGACGUUACCGACAGAAGAAGCACCGGCUAACUCCGUGCCAGCAGCCGCGGUAAUAC